GCGCCCGUAGCUCAGCCGGAUAGAGUGUUUGGCUACGAACCAAAAGGUCGUGGGUUCGAAUCCCGCCGGGCGUGCCA
rnacentral:tRNA from 1 species